rnacentral:rRNA from 1 species
GACGAACGCUGGCGGCGUGCUUAACACAUGCAAGUCGAACGAAGCUUGAUUACGUAUUCUUCGUAUGAGGUAUGAUAUGACUGAGUUGCGGACGGGUGAGUAACGCGUGAGUAACCUGCCCUUCAGAGGGGGAUAGCGUUUGGAAACGAACGGUAAUACCGCAUCAUGUAUUUUGACCGCAUGAUCGAAAUACCAAAGAUUUAUCGCUGAAGGAUGGACUCGCGUCUGAUUAGGUAGUUGGUGGGGUAACGGCCUACCAGGCCGACGAUCAGUAGCCGGAGUGGGAGGUUGAUCGGCCACAUUGGGACUGAGACACGGCCCAGAUACCUACGGGAGGCGGCAGUGGGGAAUAUUGAUCGAUGGGCGCAAGCCUGAUGCAGCAACGGCGCGUGAAGGAAGACGGUUGUCGGAUUGUAAACUUCUGUUCUUAGGGAAGAAUAAUGACGGUAGCUAAGGAGCAAGCCACGGCUAACUACGUG